UACAGAGGGGGCAAGCGUUAUUCGGAAUUAUUGGGCGUAAAGAGCGCGUAGGCGGUUUGAUAAGUCUGAUGUGAAAUCCCUGGACUCAAUCCAGGAAGUGCAUUGGAUACUGUCAGGCUAGAGUAUAGGAGAGGUGAGCGGAAUUCCCGGUGUAGAGGUGAAAUUCGUAGAUAUCGGGAGGAACAACAGUGGCGAAGGCGGCUCACUGGACUGUAACUGACGCUGAGGCGCGAAAGCGUGGGGAGCAAACAGG
rnacentral:rRNA from 1 species